AUCCACAGACACUGGUGAGUGUGAAAACGGGGAGGCGUGCUGUAGUCACUACUGUAAGAAUUACCCAGGAGGCUAUGAGUGUGGCUGUAGACCCAACGGCUGCACAUGUGAUGACAUUGACGAGUGUCUGUCUGAGACAUCAGGAUGUUCUUAGUACUGUGUGAACACACUGGGCUCUUAUUAGUGUUUCUGUCAUGUGGGCUUCAGACUGGACUAUGACCAGAAAUCAUGCUUACCUCUCUAUGAGAGGGAACUGGAGGGGGAGGAAGAGAAAGAGGUGGUUUCAGUGUGUGAGGAGGGUUCGUUCAGUGAAGACUGCAGUGUGAGCUGUUAAGACUGUAUCAAUGGAGGAGUGUGUGUGCGCUAGAGAAGGAUCGCCGUGUGUGUGCACCUGGCUGGACUGGGGUCACCUGUAAUGACAGUGAGUGUCUUUAUUCUCUACUAUCACUGACCUCUGACCUUAACAGAAGCCUUGAAGAAAUACAGCUACAUUGUUAAGGUUUAUUUACACAGAGCAAGAAUAAUUGUAAUUAUUUUUUUUAAUGUAAAACAUGCCAAGUAAGAUUUUAAAAUGACGUUUCUUUUGAACUCACAUAGACUUCUUUAUUAUUUAUUUGAGGCUAAAUUAUUUUAUUUAAUAUUCUAUUUUUUUUUAUGGCAAAGAACAAGGGUUAUAAUUAAA